AGAUUGAACGCUGGCGGCAUGCCUUACACAUGCAAGUCGAACGGCAGCACGGGAGCAAUCCUGGUGGCGAGUGGCGAACGGGUGAGUAAUACAUCGGAACGUGCCCAAUCGUGGGGGAUAACGCAGCGAAAGCUGUGCUAAUACCGCAUAAGAUCUACGGAUGAAAGCAGGGGAUCGCAAGACCUUGCGCGAAUGGAGCGGCCGAUGGCAGAUUAGGUAGUUGGUGAGGUAAAGGCUCACCAAGCCUUCGAUCUGUAGCUGGUCUGAGAGGACGACCAGCCACACUGGGACUGAGACACGGCCCACGACUCCGUA
rnacentral:rRNA from 1 species